rnacentral:tRNA from 1 species
GGGCCAUUAGCUCAGUUGGUUAGAGCAACCGGCUCAUAACCGGUUUGCCCGGGGUUCGAGUCCCUGAUGGCCCACCA